ACGACUGAUAGGAGAGAGUAUCACCAGCCAGCAUCGGCCUGCACCGGCGAGGAUGGGCGCGACCUAGAGGUUGGCGGCGGCUCGAUCUGCUCUUGGAUCGGGAACUGCGACGAGGCUGGGUCUCGGGCGCGAUUCACAGGAGGCUGUACUCCGCCUUUUCCUCGUGGUGCGGCGGACGGCGGUGCGCUCUGGUCGGAAGAAGAGUUGGGCGGUGAGGAGGAGAAGAAGGUGGCUUACGUUUUCAACACCGCCCUCACUGCCCCCUUCUUCCAUUGGCUCAUCGGCCGGUUAGAGAUUAUCAAGGUGGAGGUCAAUGGUGUGAGACAGAGAAGUGGAGUGCUCAUAAAGAAACGCAGCUGCUUCCUGGAUUCGCCGUCGUGGCCGCCGCCUCUAGUCGCUUCCACCUGGACAUCCUUCGCCAACAAGGUGCUGGCUGGUUGGUGCUGGGCUACUGAUGGCAUGAGACCCGCUUCAAAAAAAGGAAUGAAAGGAAGCAUUUGUUCAUAG
rnacentral:rRNA from 1 species